AUUCCAUGGUGCAUAUGUACCACAUUUUCUUUAUCCAGCCUAUCACUGAUGGGCAUUUUGGUUGCUAACCAUGCACAACUUUUAACUGACUUGUAGCUUAUUCCAGGAGUCGGUCCUGGCACACUCUACCUUACUAUCACUAUCAGCCUUUUCUCCUUCCUUCCUGACCUUCCCUCCUUCCCUCCUCCCAUCCCAUACUUCCUUUUUCACCUUGAGGAGCUAUGGGAAGUACUAGGUGGUAUGAAAGAGAGUGAGGAGAAGAUAAGAGUCCCUACCCUAAUGGUAAAUGUAUGCUUUUUAUGGGAAAACAAGAUAGAUAGUACCUGGCAACAUUUGUGAACAUUUCCUUCAAAAAUCUUUAAAUAUUUUUCACUAAGACUUAAAAAAAAAAAAGCUUUUAUACGAAAGCAUAACUAAGGCAGAAGGAGAAGUAAAAAUAACAGUCAUCACCCAGAAUGCUAAGGAGACCCUAAUCUAAACAGGAGAUUGGAAGGGCAAUGGGAAUAUGCUGUGUCUUCAUUAAAGUUGUUCUGUUGCUCUCUGGGCUCGGACCUGGUUCGUGGCGAGAUGGCCAAACGUACUAAGAAAGUUGGCUCAUCAGUAAAUACGGGACCCGCUAUGGGGCCUCCCUCCAGAAAAUGGUGAAGAAAAUUGAAAUCAGCCAGCACACCAAGUACACUUGCUCUUUCUGUGGCAAAACCAAGAUGAAGAGACGAGCUGUGGGGAUCUGGCACUGUGGUUCCUGCAUGAAGACAGUGGCUGGCAGUGCCUGGAUAUACAAUACCACAUCCGCUGUCACGAUAAAGUCCGCCAUCAGAAGACUGAAGGAGUUGAAAGACCAGUAGAUGCUCCUCUACUCUUUGAGACAUCACUGGCCUAUAAUAAAUGGGUUAAUUUAUGUAA